rnacentral:rRNA from 1 species
UACGGGGGGGGCAAGCGUUGUUCGGAAUUACUGGGCGUAAAGGGUGCGUAGGCGGUCCGCUAAGUUGGAUGUGAAAACUCUGGGCUUAACCCAGAGCCUGCAUUCAAAACUGACGGGCUAGAGUUCUGGAGGGGGUAGCGGAAUUCCUGGUGUAGCGGUGAAAUGCGCAGAUAUCAGGAGGAACACCAAUGGCGAAGGCAGCUCGCUGGGACGUGACUGACGCUGAGACGCGAAAGCGUGGGGAGCAAACAGG